rnacentral:rRNA from 1 species
ACGCUCGACACCUACGGGAGGCAGCAGUCGGGAAUAUUGCGCAAUGGAGGAAACUCUGACGCAGUGACGCCGCGUAUAGGAAGAAGGUUUUCGGAUUGUAAACUAUUGUCGUUAGGGAAGAAAAAGGACAGUACCUAAGGAGGAAGCUCCGGCUAACUACGUACCAGCAGCCGCGGUAAUCUGAGCGGGCUGGCAAGGC